UAGGGAAUCUUCGGCAAUGGACGAAAGUCUGACCGAGCAACGCCGCGUGAGUGAAGAAGGUCUUCGGAUCGUAAAACUCUGUUGUUAGAGAAGAACAAGGACGUUAGUAACUGAACGUCCCCUGACGGUAUCUAACCAGAAAGCCACGGCUAACUACGUGCCAGCAGCCGCGGUAAUACGUAGGUGGCAAGCGUUGUCCGGAUUUAUUGGGCGUAAAGCGAGCGCAGGCGGUUUCUUAAGUCUGAUGUGAAAGCCCCCGGCUCAACCGGGGAGGGUCAUUGGAUACUGGGAGGCUUGAGUGCAGAAGAGGAGAGUGGAAUUCCAUGUGUAGCGGUGAAAUGCGUAGAUAUAUGGAGGAACACCAGUGGCGAAGGCGGCUCUCUGGUCUGUAACUGACGCUGAGGCACGAAAGCGUGGGGAGCAAACAGG
rnacentral:rRNA from 1 species